rnacentral:rRNA from 1 species
GAGUGGCGAACUGGUGAGUAACACGUGGGAAACCUGCCCAGAAGCGGGGGAUAACACCUGGAAACAGAUGCUAAUACCGCAUAACAACUUGGACCGCAUGGUCCGAGUUUGAAAGAUGGCUUCGGCUAUCACUUUUGGAUGGUCCCGCGGCGUAUUAGCUAGAUGGUGRGGUAACGGCUCACCAUGGCAAUGAUACGUAGCCGACCUGAGAGGGUAAUCGGCCACAUUGGGACUGAGACACGGCCCAAACUCCUACGGGAGGCAGCAGUAGGGAAUCUUCCACAAUGGACGAAAGUCUGAUGGAGCAACGCCGCGUGAGUGAAGAAGGGUUUCGGCUCGUAAAACUCUGUUGUUAAAGAAGAACAUAUCUGAGAGUAACUGUUCAGGUAUUGACGGUAUUUAACCAGAAAGCCACGGCUAACUACGUGCCAGCAGCCGCGGUAAUACGUAGGUGGCAAGCGUUGUCCGGAUUUAUUGGGCGUAAAGCGAGCGCAGGCGGUUUUUUAAGUCUGAUGUGAAAGCCUUCGGCUCAACCGAAGAAGUGCAUCGGAAACUGGGAAACUUGAGUGCAGAAGAGGACAGUGGAACUCCAUGUGUAGCGGUGAAAUGCGUAGAUAUAUGGAAGAACACCAGUGGCGAAAGCGGCUGUCUGGUCUGUAACUGACGCUGAGGCUCGAAAGUAUGGGUAGCAAACAGGAUUAGAUACCCUGGUAGUCCAUACCGUAAACGAUGAAUGCUAAGUGUUGGAGGGUUUCCGCCCUUCAGUGCUGCAGCUAACGCAUUAAGCAUUCCGCCUGGGGAGUACGGCCGCAAGGCUGAAACUCAAAGGAAUUGACGGGGGCCCGCACAAGCGGUGGAGCAUGUGGUUUAAUUCGAAGCUACGCGAAGAACCUUACCAGGUCUUGACAUACUAUGCAAAUCUAAGAGAUUAGACGUUCCCUUCGGGGACAUGGAUACAGGUGGUGCAUGGUUGUCGUCAGCUCGUGUCGUGAGAUGUUGGGUUAAGUCCCGCAACGAGCGCAACCCUUAUUAUCAGUUGCCAGCAUUAAGUUGGGCACUCUGGUGAGACUGCCGGUGACAAACCGGAGGAAGGUGGGGAUGACGUCAAAUCAUCAUGCCCCUUAUGACCUGGGCUACACACGUGCUACAAUGGAUGGUACAACGAGUUGCGAACUCGCGAGAGUAAGCUAAUCUCUUAAAGCCAUUCUCAGUUCGGAUUGUAGGCUGCAACUCGCCUACAUGAAGUCGGAAUCGCUAGUAAUCGCGGAUCAGCAUGCCGCGGUGAAUACGUUCCCGGGCCUUGUACACACCGCCCGUCACACCAUGAGAGUUUGUAACACCCAAAGUCGGUGGGGUAACCUUUUAGGAACCAGCCGCCUAA